rnacentral:rRNA from 1 species
GGCUCAGGAUGAACGCUGGCGGCGUGCUUAACACAUGCAAGUCGAGCGAAGCACUUAACUUUGAUUCUUUCGGGAUGAAGAGUUCUGUGACUGAGCGGCGGACGGGUGAGUAACGCGUGGGUAACCUGCCUCAUACAGGGGGAUAACAGUUAGAAAUGGCUGCUAAUACCGCAUAAGACCACAGCACCGCAUGGUGCAGGGGUAAAAACUCCGGUGGUAUGAGAUGGACCCGCGUCUGAUUAGCUAGUUGGUGAGGUUAAACGGGCCCACCAAGGCGACGAUCGGUAGCCGGACUGAGAGGUUGAACGGCCACAUUGGGACUGAGACACGGCCCAGACUCCUACGGGAGGCAGCAGUGGGGAAUAUUGCACAAUGGGGGAAACCCUGAUGCAGCGACGCCGCGUGGAGGAAGAAGGUCUUCGGAUUGUAAACUCCUGUUGUUGAGGAAGAUGAUGACGGUACUCAACAAGGAAGUGACGGCUAACUACGUG